GAUGAACGCUGGCGGCGUGCCUAAUACAUGCAAGUCGAGCGAACAGAUGAGGAGCUUGUUCCUCUGACGUUAGCGGCGGACGGGUGAGUAACACGUGGAUAACCUACCUAUAAGACUGGGAUAACUUCGGGAAACCGGAGCUAAUACCGGAUAAUAUAUUGAACCGCAUGGUUCAAUAGUGAAAGACGGUUUUGCUGUCACUUAUAGAUGGAUCCGCGGCGCAUUAGCUAGUUGGUAAGGUAACGGCUUACCAAGGCAACGAUGCGUAGCCGACCUGAGGGGGUGAGGCGCCACAGUGAAACUGAGACACGGUCCAGACUCCUAGGGGGGGCAGGAGUAGGGAAUCUUCCGAAAUGGGCGAGAGCCUGACGGAGAAACGGCGCGUGAGUGAUGAAGGUCUUCGGAGCGUAAAACUCUGUUAUUAGGAGAGAACAAAUGUGUAAGUAACUAUGCACGUGUUGACGGUACCUAAUCAGAAAGCCACGGCUAACUACGU
rnacentral:rRNA from 1 species